AGUGAACGCUGGCGGUAGGCCUAACACAUGCAAGUCGAACGGCAGCACAGGAGAGCUUGCUCUCUGGGUGGCGAGUGGCGGACGGGUGAGGAAUACAUCGGAAUCUACCUUUUCGUGGGGGAUAACGUAGGGAAACUUACGCUAAUACCGCAUACGACCUACGGGUGAAAGUGGGGGACCGCAAGGCCUCACGCGAUUAGAUGAGCCGAUGUCCGAUUAGCUAGUUGGCGGGGUAAUGGCCCACCAAGGCGACGAUCGGUAGCUGGUCUGAGAGGACGAUCAGCCACACUGGAACUGAGACACGGUCCAGACUCCUACGGGAGGCAGCAGUGGGAAAUAUUGGACAAUGGGCGCAAGCCUGAUCCAGCCAUACCGCGUGGGUGAAGAAGGCCUUCGGGUUGUAAAGCCCUUUUGUUGGGAAAGAAAUCCUGUCGAUUAAUACUCGGUGGGGAUGACGGUACCCAAAGAAUAAGCACCGGCUAACUUCGUGCCAGCAGCCGCCGUAAAAC
rnacentral:rRNA from 1 species